rnacentral:rRNA from 1 species
GGCGUUAAGUUGCAGGGUAUAGACCCGAAACCCGGUGAUCUAGCCAUGGGCAGGUUGAAGGUUGGGUAACACUAACUGGAGGACCGAACCGACUAAUGUUGAAAAAUUAGCGGAUGACCUGUGGCUGGGGGUGAAAGGCCAAUCAAACCGGGAGAUAGCUGGUUCUCCCCGAAAGCUAUUUAGGUAGCGCCUCGUGAAUUCAUCUCCGGGGGUAGAGCACUGUUUCGGCUAGGGGGCCAUCCCGGCUUACCAACCCGAUGCAAACUGCGAAUACCGGAGAAUGUUAUCACGGGAGACACACGGCGGGUGCUAACGUCCGUCGUGAAGAGGGAAACAACCCAGACCGCCAGCUAAGGUCCCAAAGUCAUGGUUAAGUGGGAAACGAUGUGGGAAGGCCCAGACAGCCAGGAUGUUGGCUUAGAAGCAGCCAUCAUUUAAAGAAAGCGUAAUAGCUCACUGGUCGAGUCGGCCUGCGCGGAAGAUGUAACGGGGCUAAACCAUGCACCGAAGCUGCGGCAG